AUGAAUCUAUAAGGCUUCAACACUAAGCAAAAGCUGUUUCAUGUCGCUAAAAAAACGAAGCUUCACGUUUGGAACGGGCGAAUUCUAGGAUAACAACGUCUAUUUGUAUUGUUUCUUUAACUAGCGUGUUUUAGCAUGGAAACUAUUUUAAUGAACGUGUUAUCUAUAUGCCAAUUAUUACACUAGUUAUUAAUUUUCUAUGCUUCAACAAAAUCUCAGCGUUUACGCGACUUGUAUUAGCCGAGAGAUUCAUUGCGGAUAGUCUUGGCCUUUGGGAAACCACGAGUCUUCAUUGAGCUCUAGCACGGACUGCAAAUAAUGAGACGUAGCCAAAACGAUUCGCUCAGAGACGUUAACCAAUGGCCAGGCGAAAAGUGCCCAAAAAAAAUAGUGCUCGCCCAGUAUAGAAGUCACUGAACGUGUGUGUUAUCGACGCCAGGUUCCAACUUGGACAGACGGCCGGAUACCUUGAACAUAAUUGCCAGGUAGGACAUAUAUGAUUUGUUUAAUCAUAACUACACCAGCAUCUAAUCAGGUAUUGAUUAAAGGUAAAUCAGAGAAUCUUUAGCAUGGAUUCAUCAGCCGAACAGUUAUUUGUGAGGCGAUUCAAUUUCAUGGCCCAAGUGAACGGAUGGCAUUUUGACCGUUGUUCAGGCCAGAGGAUAUGGUCUACUAUGAGUCACGAGCAACGCCAGCCAUAUGCUGAUCUCGAUCACCAAUUAGAAACUGUUGCGUGUUUGCAAAAAGAAUUAACCAAAGCCCGCCAACAGCUUUGUGAGCAAGCCCGGGCUUUAGGGUACGGAGACGAGGAGAUCGACUAUAUGCUCUUCUUGGCGCAGAGGCCCAAAAUCCCAUUUAAUGGAAAGGAAAGACAACAUUGAAUGAUUCUACGAGGUUUUCUUUAAUCGUCAACAGCUAUUGCCAAUAGAGAUUCAGUUAAAGUCGAACGAAAUGAGUUAUUCGAGUUCUUGAAGUGCUCGUCAGGUGAUCGGCUUCAAUAAUAAUGAUAUUAUCGAUGUAGUUCUCAAUCAUAUAUAUCCGUCACAUGCAGGACGGUAUACUAAAACUCACUGCCACAGCUACCGGUACGCGUGCGACUGGUCUCCAGUCAUGGUAAUUACAUGUACAUACUGCCGAAUGCGCCUAAUGGAACAACAUUAUAGGUUGUUACGGCCAACGACACAACAACAAAAAGGAUGUAUCAAGUAUCAUAAAAACGAAUAAGGAUGUCCGAACGCCUUCUGGCGGAAUAUACUACGCACGUUAUCACAACUAUCGGUCCGGUUUUCAGCUGCACGUCAUCAAACGGAAGUAAAGCGAUGCGGCAACGUCCAACCACCCGCAAGGUAUAAUUGACGGCCGUACAGAAACUUAGCCGAAAGGCUCAUUCAAUUAAUGAAUCGAUAACUUAGUGCUGUUAGAUAUUGCACAGAUGGUCCAAGUUUGCAUUAGCCACAAACGUACGUCAAUGAGUCGAUUUAAGCGGUCGACGGUAAGGGUCACUGAAGGAAAGCACGUCGAAUGAAGAAGGAAACGGCCGGUAUCUGUACGGAUCACUAUUGAAGCUACUGCAACCGUCACUGCGAAUGCUCGUUCUUAUAAAUGUUGAAGAGCAACCCACAACCCUCGUCGGCCUAACAAACUACGCUUCUCAGAUGGACGACCCUUGCUAUACACGUUGUUUCGAAGAAAAAAUUCUCAUGAACGCGCGUCAUACAUCGACUUUUACCAAGUACUACUAUUGACUACUGAGAACAACACUCGCCGUUCUAACCAUUCUGACCACUGCCGACGCGGCCUAUUCGAGUUGACGGCCCCUGCAAGCGACAUAUGAGCAUGCAUGUACGAAUUCUUGUUGCAUAUCCGCCGGCCAAGUGAGGCUUUCAAGACAUGUUGCACCGGCCAUUUCCACCAUCAGUCGUACUUUGCCGCGCCGUUAACUCCUACAUUUUUUGCAUCUUUUUUUGUUUUCACGUCUUCGCGGCUGUCAUUUUGUGAGUGCGAUCGCAACAGUAUCAGUAGCGUCCAUUGGUACGCUCCUCCACACAUAUGCUUAAGUAAC